rnacentral:rRNA from 1 species
CGGGGAUAGCCUUUCGAAAGAAAGAUUAAUACCCGAUGGCAUAGUUCUUCCGCAUGGUGAACUAUUAAAGAAUUUCGGUCAUCGAUGGGGAUGCGUUCCAUUAGGUUGUUGGCGGGGUAACGGCCCACCAAGCCUUCGAUGGAUAGGGGUUCUGAGAGGAAGGUCCCCCACAUUGGAACUGAGACACGGUCCAAACUCCUACGGGAGGCAGCAUG